UCGAACUUUCAAAAUGGCGGCAAAGGAUGCUGUAGCCAUCAUUCUGGAUGUGAGUUUGUCCAUGACCCAAGCUCCCCCCGGACACGAGACACCUCUAGAGACAUCAACCAAAGCUAUCAAUAUGAUUAUACAAAGAAAGAUGUUUGCCAAUGCAAAAGAUGAAUUUUGUUUAAUCCUUUUUGGCACAGAUGGGACUGACAAUCACCUUCAUGACGAAUAUGGUGGCUAUGACAAUAUCAC